rnacentral:rRNA from 1 species
UACGUAGGUGGCAAGCGUUGUCCGGAUUUAUUGGGUUUAAAGGGUGCGUAGGCGGCCUUGUAAGUCAGUGGUGAAAUAUCUCAGCUUAACUGAGAGGGUGCCAAUGAUAUUGCAGGGCUUGAGUACAGAUGAGGUAGGCGGAAUUGACGGUGUAGCGGUGAAAUGCUUAGAUAUCGUCAAGAACACCUAUAGCGAAGGCAGCUUACUAAGCUGUAACUGACGCUGAGGCACGAAAGUGUGGGGAUCAAACAGG